rnacentral:rRNA from 1 species
CAGCUUGUUGGUGGGGUGAUGGCCUACCAAGGCGACGACGGGUAGCCGGCCUGAGAGGGCGACCGGCCACACUGGGACUGAGACACGGCCCAGACUCCUACGGGAGGCAGCAGUGGGGAAUAUUGCACAAUGGGCGGAAGCCUGAUGCAGCGACGCCGCGUGAGGGAUGACGGCCUUCGGGUUGUAAACCUCUUUCAGCAGGGACGAAGCGAGAGUGACGGUACCUGCAGAAGAAGCGCCGGCCAACUACGUGCCAGCAGCCGCGGUAAGACGUAGGGCGCGAGCGUUGUCCGGAUUUAUUGGGCGUAAAGAGCUCGUAGGCGGCUUGUCGCGUCGAAUGUGAAAUCUCAGGGCUCAACUCUGACAUUGCAUUCGAUACGGGCAGGCUAGAGUUCGGUAGGGGAGACUGGAAUUCCUGGUGUAGCGGUGAAAUGCGCAGAUAUCAGGAGGAACACCGGUGGCGAAGGCGGGUCUCUGGGCCGAUACUGACGCUGAGGAGCGAAAGCGUGGGGAGCGAACAGGAUUAGAUACCCUGGUAGUCCACGCUGUAAAACUUGGGCGCUAAG